UAAUACGUAGGGGGCAAGCGUUGUCCGGAUUUAUUGGGCGUAAAGAGCGUGUAGGCGGCCAUGUAGGUCCGAUGUGAAAACUGGGGGCUCAACCUCCAGCUGUCAUCGGAAACCAUGUGGCUAGAGUCCGGAAGAGGAGAGUGGAAUUCCUGGUGUAGCGGUGAAAUGCGCAGAUAUCAGGAAGAACACCUAUGGCGAAGGCAGCUCUCUGGGACGGUACUGACGCUGAGACGCGAAAGCGUGGGGAGCGAACAGGAUUAGAUACCCUGGUAGUCCACGCCGUAAACGAUGGGCGCUAGGUGUGGGCGGUGUCGACUCCGUCCGUGCCGCAGCUAACGCAUUAAGCGCCCCGCCUGGGGAGUACGGCCGCAAGGCUA
rnacentral:rRNA from 1 species